UACAGAGGGUGCGAGCGUUGUCCGGAAUCACUGGGCGUAAAGGGCGCGUAGGUGGCGGCCCAAGUCCAUGGUGAAAGCUCGAUGCUCAACAUCGAGUCGGCCACGGAUACUGGGUUGCUCGAGCACUGUAGGGGCAGAUGGAAUUCCGGGUGUAGCGGUGGAAUGCGUAGAGAUCCGGAAGAACACCGGGUGGCGAAGGCGGUCUGCUGGGCAGUUGCUGACACUGAGGCGCGACAGCGUGGGGGAGCGAACAGG
rnacentral:rRNA from 1 species